rnacentral:rRNA from 1 species
AGAUGGCGACCGGCGCACGGGUGAGUAACACGUAUCCAACCUACCGAUAACUCGGGGAUAGCCUUUCGAAAGAAAGAUUAAUACCCGAUGGUAUAAUCAGACCGCAUGGUUUGAUUAUUAAAGAAUUUCGGUUAUCGAUGGGGAUGCGUUCCAUUAGGCAGUUGGUGAGGUAACGGCUCACCAAACCUUCGAUGGAUAGGGGUUCUGAGAGGAAGGUCCCCCACAUUGGAACUGAGACACGGUCCAA